rnacentral:miRNA from 1 species
UACACAUUAUUUACUACUAUU